AUUGAACGCUGGCGACAGGCCUAACACAUGCAAGUCGAGCGCGAAAGUCUUCGGAUGAGUAAAGCGGCGAACGGGUGAGUAAUGCAUGGGAAUCUGCCUGGUAGUGGGGGACAACGUCUCGAAAGGGACGCUAAUACCGCAUACGCCCUACGGGGGAAAGGGGGGAUCUUCGGACCUCUCGCUAUCAGAUGAGCCCAUGUCAGAUUAGCUAGUUGGUGAGGUAAAGGCUCACCAAGGCGACGAUCUGUAACUGGUCUGAGAGGAUGAUCAGUCACACUGGAACUGAGACACGGUCCAGACUCCUACGGGAGGCAGCAGUGGGGAAUAUUGGACAAUGGGGGCAACCCUGAUCCAGCCAUGCCGCGUGUGUGAAGAAGGCCCUAGGGUUGUAAAGCACUUUCAGUGGGAGAAAGGUUAGUUCACCUAAUACGUGAGUAGAUUGAUGUUACCCACAGAAGAAGCACCGGCUAACUCCGUGCCAGCAGCCGCGGUAAU
rnacentral:rRNA from 1 species